rnacentral:hammerhead_ribozyme from 1 species
AUCCAACUGACAAGUCCCAGAUAGGACGAAACACGUGUUCUGAAU